AGUUCAUCUGAAAGAAAAUAACAAAUGCAUAGCCAGCCAGCUGUUUUUGACCGCCCGUCAUUGCGUCCCACUCCAACCCCUGUCACCCCUCCCCCGGCCUGCUACUGCUGAGCUCAGCUGGCAGCUGCCUGCAGAGUUAAGUUGAGACCACCAGACUGCUAACGGGUACAAAACUUAUACUUUAAAAAAAUUAUGUAUUCAGUAAACUGUUCAUUUUUUUUGACGGUGUCGAAUUACCUAGCUAGCUAGCUGGCUUACGGUGGUUAGCGAGCUAGCAAAGUUACAUAGAUAAAUUAGGCAUUGGGGGAACUUAGCUAGCUCAUUUAUUCCUUAAGGUUACUCUGCAGCUUAGUUAGUUAUCGUAGCUUUCUAGAACGUUUUUUAAACCACCUGAUGAAUUUAGGACUGCCAGAGCAUCUAAAGUUAGCAAGCUGACGUUAUGGGCUGGUAUAGCGUUAGCUUACUAGCAACGAUUAGUCACUGUAGCUGUGUCAAUUUGCAGGCAAUGAAGAGAAAGUCCACGGAUCUCUCCUUGCUUUAAGAUCAAAAGUAGUACAGGGGAGACGCAGCCGACAGGGAAGCAGCAGCAGAGGGUUAGCGUUAGUGAGGAUGCAGUCGAAGCCAAUGAACAGGCAGAGGCAGCGAGAGAGCAUGACAGAACAGAGGCAGAACAUGACAGCGAUGAACAGGCCCAGGCAGCAUCAAUGACAGAGCACAGUGAAGAACAACAGACAGCAACAUGGCACUAAAGUGUGGAACAGGCAGCAACUCGAGCUCGAGCUAUUCAACCCGUUCCUGGACCAACAGGGGCAUAGAAGACGGAGCUUCAUGAAAGAGCUGGAGUACUCUCAGAGUAAAGACUCUGUCCACUGCUAUGCCUGCCGGCACUUCAGUCUCCCCUCCUCAGGUGAUUCAGUGUUUAUAUCUGAAGAGGGGUUAUUAUAAAUUACAUUUUAAAAAGGAAACUUACUGAGAUGGGGGGUUUUGUAGGCCAUGCCAAAUCAGAAUCACAUACUAAUGCUAUGUUAGCAUGGGCAGAAUAUGAAAAGUCGAAUGCAAGCAAAUGCUCUCUCUCAGCCUCCUUAAAUGCAGAAUAUAAUAAAUUAGUGAGGGAAAAAAAAGAGAGCACAUUAAAGCUGUUGGAGAAACCCUGCUCCUCACAGCUACGCAAAACGUUGCACAGAGAGCACAUGAAGAAAUGGAAGGUCAGAAUAAAGGACAUUUCCUCUCUGUUAUGGAGCUGCUAGCCAAGCAUGAUCACACAGUCAAAAGAAAAUGACAAGAGACAUAGACAUGACAUAGACCGACCAGGUGAAUCCAGGUGAAAGCUAGGAUCCCUUAUUGAUGUCACUUAUUAAAUCCACUUCAAUCAGUGUAGAUGAAGGGGAGGAAACAGGGUAGCCCUUUCCUGCAGUCAAUGACUAAAAGCUCAUUCUUCGGCCUCAUGGGUGGAAUGUUAUUCAUAUUUUUCAUAAUGAAUAAAAACGGACAAAUCCAGUGUUUCAAUGUCAACAGUUUUGUUAUAUUUCAGUC
ensembl:lncRNA